rnacentral:misc_RNA from 1 species
UACAGAGGCCCCGAGCGUUAUCCGGAAUUAUUGGGCGUAAAGGGUGCGUAGGUUGCGCUGUUAGUCGUUUGUGAAAGCCCCGGGCUUAACCUGGGAGACGCAGAUGAAACGGCAGUGCUUGAGAGUGAGAGGGGUGUGCGGAACUCAUAGUGUAGGGGUGAAAUCCGUUGAUAUUAUGGGGAACACCAAAAGCGAAGGCAGCACACUGGCUCAUUUCUGACGCUGAAGCACGAAAGCGUGGGUAGCGAAUGGG